AGAGUUUGAUCCUGGCUCAGAGCGAACGCUGGCGGCAGGCUUAACACAUGCAAGUCGAGCGGGCGUAGCAAUACGUCAGCGGCAGACGGGUGAGUAACGCGUGGGAACGUACCUUUUGGUUCGGAACAACACAGGGAAACUUGUGCUAAUACCGGAUAAGCCCUUACGGGGAAAGAUUUAUCGCCGAAAGAUCGGCCCGCGUCUGAUUAGCUAGUUGGUGAGGUAACGGCCCACCAAGGCGACGAUCAGUAGCUGGUCUGAGAGGAUGAUCAGCCACAUUGGGACUGAGACACGGCCCAAACUCCUACGGGAGGCAGCAGUGGGGAAUAUUGGACAAUGGGCGCAAGCCUGAUCCAGCCAUGCCGCGUGAGUGAUGAAGGCCCUAGGGUUGUAAAGCUCUUUUGUGCGGGAAGAUAAUGACGGUACCGCAAGAAUAAGCCCCGGCUAACUUCGUGCCAGCAGCCGCGGUAAUACGAAGGGGGCUAGCGUUGCUCGGAAUCACUGGGCGUAAAGGGUGCGUAGGCGGGUUUUUAAGUCAGGGGUGAAAUCCUGGAGCUCAACUCCAGAACUGCCUUUGAUACUGAAGAUCUUGAGUCCGGGAGAGGUGAGUGGAACUGCGAGUGUAGAGGUGAAAUUCGUAGAUAUUCGCAAGAACACCAGUGGCGAAGGCGGCUCACUGGCCCGGUACUGACGCUGAGGCACGAAAGCGUGGGGAGCAAACAGGAUUAGAUACCCUAGUAGUCC
rnacentral:rRNA from 1 species